rnacentral:rRNA from 1 species
CUUGAAACUCAAAGGACUUGACGGUGUCCCAUAUCGACCUAGAGGAGCCUGUCCUAUAAUCGAUACCCCCCGUUCCACCCAACCCCAACUAGCAAAUAUAACAGCCUAUAUACCGCCGUCGACAGUUUACCCUAUGAAGGCCUAAUAGUAGACACAAUAGCCAUUAACGCUAGCACGUCAGGUCAAGGUGUAGCAAAUGUUGGGGAAGAGAUUGGCUACAUUUUUUAUGAUAAAAAAUACGGAUUGCACUAUGAAAUACUGCAUGAAGGUGAAUUUAGUAGUAAAACAGACAAGAGUGUCUGUUUUAAC